UCAGUAACACGUGGCCAAACUACCCUGUGGAUGGGAAUAAUCUCGGGAAACUGAGGCUAAUUCCCAAUAAUGCUCCACCCCUGGAAUGGGUGGAGCUGGAAACGCUACGGCGCCACAGGAUGUGGCUGCGGUCGAUUAGGUAGACGGUGGGGUAACGGCCCACCGUGCCAAUAAUCGGUACGGGUUGUGAGAGCAAGAGCCCGGAGACGGAAUCUGAGACAAGAUUCCGGGCCCUACGGGGCGCAGCAGGCGCGAAACCUUUACACUGUACGCAAGUGCGAUAAGGGGACUCCGAGUGUGAAGGCAUAGAGCCUUCACUUUUGUACACCGUAAGGUGGUGCACGAAUAAGGGCUGGGCAAGACCGGUGCCAGCCGCCGCGGUAAUACCGGCAGCCCGAGUGAUGGCCGAUAUUAUUGGGCCUAAAGCGUCCGUAGCUGGCCGGACAAGUCCGUUGGGAAAUCUGUCCGCUUAACGGGCAGGCGUCCAGCGGAAACUGUUCGGCUUGGGACCGGAAGACCUGAGGGGUACGUCCGGGGUAGGAGUGAAAUCCUGUAAUCCUGGACGGACCACCGGUGGCGAAAGCGCCUCAGGAGGACGGAUCCGACAGUGAGGGACGAAAGCUAGGGUCUCGAACCGGAUUAGAUACCCGGGUAGUCCUAGCUGUAAACGAU
rnacentral:rRNA from 1 species